CAGCUCUCUGGCUGACCCCUGGGAGAGCAGGUACAAGAUGUGAGCCGGGUGCCAGUGAUGGUGUCAGGAAGAGCCUGAGAUUUGGGUCCUGAAUCAAGGAGCGUAUUCUCCAGCAGGGAAGAGGACAGGUACAUAAAAUCCAAACCACACGGUGAAGCAGCUCAUAAAGGGACCACUGCCAUACCCAAAGUUUAGCCUCUGCUAUACUAGCAACUGUCCACAGUGAGGAUCAAAAACAUAAGGCUUGGAAGAGCUCCAGAACAUAGGACAGGCAUGGCUGACAGGACAUAGACCAGAAUCGCUGCCAACUCAUCUCAGAGAGGCACUUCUCGAAGAACCUAUAAGAGACAAGUUUGAUGCAGGAACACCAAGAGCUAAGUAUCCAGGCAUCCUCUCCUUCUUAACCAGGGCCCUGGGACAGCUGGACAUCCUCACCCUUUUCUGUCAUUUUGACAGGGGACUCUGUCUUCUCUGCUUGGAAAGAGGACAUUUCCAUGUCAUUGCCCAAGCACCCUGGUCUAGGCGACUUAGAUGCUUCUCUGAGAGACUCUGCCUCUGGCUGUUUUGGGUUGUUCAGGAAAUUCCAGAUUCGGCAGAACAAUUACAACAGACACAGUUGCAACAUGGCACCAAGCCUUCCUCCCGGAUACAAUGUUAUUGAUAUAUUGUGGUAUAGCGAAAAAAAAUCAUCAAUGGUGGGUGGUGGCAUAUAGAGUCCUCAUGAGAAAGAAAUAGAAAAAUUACAAAAAGCCGGUAUGAAACGCUUUUCAAUGGAGCAGCCUAAAGCUAUUUAAUGCAAGGACAAGCAACACCCGUUCCUCCUGAGGACCUAAGGGAGACCUGUUGGGAAUAUUGUUGCUGAGUUAAAGGGUCACAUUCAAAUCAGAUUUCACUGGACCAAUCCCAGUUUGGCAAAAGGCCCUGAAAAUUCCAGAGCCAUCAUCGUCAUGAUCUGGAGGCUUCCAAGGAAUCUGUUCCCUGGUCAAAUCAGAAUCUUGUCUCUCUAGAGAGGACUCUAUACAGAAUGAGAAACCCACAUCUAGCAGCCAUCCCCGGACACAAGCUUGCUGAAGGAGGAAUGCUUCCAUUUAAACCAUGACAAUGGAAAGGUUGGCACAAUUUCAGUUUGAUUACGGUGUCAGGAAAAUAAGCUAAUAGCAGAGGCCUGGUACUAAAGUCCCAUAUUCCUAGGUUAUUUUCCAUCGAACCCUUCCUUUCUGGUGCCUUUCUCUGAGAUACAGCACGAAUCCCAUGAUUAUGGAGUUUGAGGCUAUCAUGACCAUCCUCUGACAGUGGUGGGUACACAGCAGCCAAGUCCUUGCUGCUACCAAGGGAAAAAGCAAAACAACACAACAGAAAACCUCUGGGGGGUUGUCAUUUUGGGGUUAAAAAAAACCCUGUUUCUCGUUCUCCUUUCAUUAAAAGGUUUUCAUCGCAAGGCUUCACUGUUCUGCCCAAUGGGAAUCCAAACAUUGACUAUUGUGCACAAAACCUAGAUCGAGGAACAACUUUGUUCCUGCCUGUUUGAAAAAAUCCUGCAUAUUUGAUAAAAAUAGUUUACAGGGUACUCUUUAGUUGGUUUCUUUGGAAAGAGGCAUUUAGAGAAACCAGAGAAAAUUCAUAGAGGGGUAACCAGGCUAAUGAGGAGUCUGAAAACCACAUCAUUAGAGAAAACAUUGAAGGAAGUGAGGAUGCAGGUUCCGGAAAAGUGGACUCAGGGGUGCACAGAUGAAUGUUGUCACCAUCUUUAAACAUCUGAAGAGCUGUCACAGGGAAGAAAAAUUAGGAAGCAGGUCUAGGACCCGCUAAGAGGUGUCUCAGGGCAGGGAUGCUGGUCUCUAUCAGGCUCGAAGCCUUCUUUUUACAACAUAUGUUGAAAUUCCCCUUUUACUAUCCUAACUUAAUUGUAAAGGAGAAAUAAAAUGAAAUAAAUUGUAAAGGAGAAAAUGAAAGGAGCAUACGGUAAAUAUGUUUGUUGCUUGUUUGUUUUGAGACAGGUUCUCUCUUUGCCAUCCAAACUGGAAUGAAGUGGUGCAAUCUCCACCAUUUAAUUGGUUGGAGUGGUUGCUCACUGCAACCUCCGCCUCCUGGAUUCAAGUGAUUCUCGUGCCUCAGCCUCCCAAGUAGCUGGGAUUACAGGUGUGUGCCAACACGCCGAGCUAAUUUCUAUAUUUGUAGUAGAGAUGAAGUUUCGCCAUGUUGGCCAGGCAGGUCUUGAACUCCUGAUCCACCCGCGUCACCCUCCCAAACUGCUGGGACUACAGGUGUGAGCCACCUUGCCCAGCCUAAUAUGUAUUUUUAAAAGUAGGUUCUCAAGCAGGGUUGGACUAGAAGACUAGUGACCCCAGCCAAUGUUUUUACUUAUUUUUUCAGCCCAUUUUCAUCUGGAGUCAAG
rnacentral:lncRNA from 1 species